CCCGAACAGAUGAGUUUAAUCUGAUAAGGGAAGAGAUUCGGAUUUUCAAGAAAGAAGUGUUUGACUACAUGGAUAACUACUUCAAAAAGUUGUUAGAUGCAAUAAAGGGCAAUCAAACACCAGAUAAGGUCGGCGACACAAUGUUAAAAGCUGACUUACAUAGUGAUGGUGGGAUUUAUCAAGGCAAUCAAAGUGGCGGUACAGUAAAGCUUUCAACCAAAGAGAAUCAAGGUGGUGGUGCCACUUCCGCGCAGAGGAGUCAUCCAGUGGUA